CCCACUCGUAUUGCGUUUGGCGGCCGGCUAGCACUGGUUUAUGAAUGAGAUCCAAUUAUGCGAUAGAAACUUUUGAUACGUAGCUACAUUUAAAACAUAGAAAGGUCAAUGCGUUUUCAGGUCAAGGGAAUAACCUCAACAACAAUACAAAUCACAUGGGUUAGAAUGGUGUGCAGACGUAAUUCGAUCCUAGUUUCGUAAUAAAGUUAAAAUCAUUUGUACUUUUGAUAGCUACAUAUAAAACAUAAAAAGGUCAAUGCGUUUUGAGGUCAAUAUCAAGGGUAUAACCUCACCAACAAUACAAAUCACAUGGGUUAGAAUGGUAUGCAAACUUAGUUCGUUCGUAGCUUCGUAAUCAAGUUAAAAUCAUUUGUACCUAUGUAGAAAUGAAUCUGCUACGAAAAUCUAUCUUUCUUAUAGCCCUGCCUUAGGCUUUUUAAGGGCGGUUUCUACUUAA